rnacentral:lncRNA from 1 species
UACAACAUAUCCAAAUUUGAGAUCCAUCGGAGUAGUACAACUUCAGAAAUUCAAGUAUGAUGAGUAACUGUUCAUCAAUGUUCUGUUAAUCCGUCAGACUUGUUGUGAGCUUCGAAACUCCAUUUUCUCUUGUUCAGAUCAACAUACUUUCUUCAUCGAAGUUGUUCCUUAACUUGUGAACUACAACAUAUCCAAAUUUGAGGUCCCUCGGAGCAGUAUAACUCCAGAAAUCCAGGUAUGAUGAGUGACUGUUUAUCAUUUGUCUGUCAACCCGUCAGAUUUGUUGUGAGCUUUGAAACUCUAUUUUCUCUUGCUCAGAUCAGCAUGCUUUCUUCAUUGAAGUUGUUCCUCAGCUUGUGAAAUACAACAUAUCCAAAUUUGAGAUCCCUCGGAGCAGUAUAACUCCAGAAAUCCAGGUAUGAUGAAUGACUGGUUAUUAUUUUUCUGUCAACCCGUCAGAUUUGUUGUGAGCUUCGAAACUCCAUUUUCUCUUGUUCAGAUCGGUAUGCUUUCUUCAUUGAAGUUGUUCCUCAGCUCGUGAACUACAACAUAUCCAAAUUUGAGAUCCCUCGGAGCAGUAUAACUCCAGAAAAUCCAGGUAUGAUGAAUGACUGGUUAUUAUUUUUCUGUCAACCCGUCAGAUUUGUUGUGAGCUUCGAAACUCCAUUUUCUCUUGUUCAGAUCGGCAUGCUUUCUUCAUUGAAGUUGUUCCUCAUCGACUCUUUCAUAACAUAUCAAAAAUUCAGGAUGAACUAACGGUUAAAUAUUUCCAGAUCUUCGAAACAUCACA